UGGGGAAUUUUGGACAAUGGGCGAAAGCCUGAUCCAGCAAUGCCGCGUGUGUGAAGAAGGCCUUCGGGUUGUAAAGCACUUUUGUCCGGAAAGAAAUCCUUGGCUCUAAUACAGUCGGGGGAUGACGGUACCGGAAGAAUAAGCACCGGCUAACUACGUGCCAGCAGCCGCGGUAAUACGUAGGGUGCAAGCGUUAAUCGGAAUUACUGGGCGUAAAGCGUGCGCAGGGCGGUUUGCUAAGACCGAUGUGAAAUCCCCGGGCUCAACCUGGGAACUGCAUUGGUGACUGGCAGGCUAGAGUAUGGCAGAGGGGGGUAGAAUUCCACGUGUAGCAGUGAAAGUGCGUAGAGAUGUGGAGGAAUACCGAUGGCGAAGGCAGCCCCCUGGGCCAAUACUGACGCUCAUGCACGAAAGCGUGGGGAGCAAACAGGAUUAGAUACCCUGGUAGUCCACGCCCUAAACGAUGUCUACUAGUUGUUGGGGAUUCAUUUCCUUAGUAACGUAGCUAACGCGUGAAGUUGACCGCCUGGGGAGUACGGUCGCAAGAUUAAACUCAAUGAAUUGACGGGGUCAUAGCUGUUUCCU
rnacentral:rRNA from 1 species